GGUCCGACACCGCCGAAUCGCUCGCGAGCGAACCGGGGAACCAGGUAACCCGGGGUGAAUCCGCAGCCACUGCGGUAGGGCGUCCCCUUCCCGCCCGAACCCGUCAGCUAACCCGGUAGGCGGUCUGGGAAGAAGGA
rnacentral:sRNA from 1 species